AUCGAACGCUGGCGGCAGGCCUAACACAUGCAAGUCGAACGAGUGGCGGACGGGUGAGUAAUGUCCGGGAAACUGCCUGAUGGAGGGGGAUAACUACUGGAAACGGUAGCUAAUACCGCAUACCAUCGGAUGUGCCCAGAUGGGAUUAGCUAGUAGGUGGGGUAAUGGCUCACCUAGGCGACGAUCCCUAGCUGGUCUGAGAGGAUGGCCAUCCACACUGGAACUGGACCACGAUCCAGACUCCUACGGGAGGGAGCAGUGGGGAAUGUUGCACAAUGGGCGCAAGCCUGAUGCAGCGGUGCCGAGUGUAUGAAGAAGGCCUUCGGGUUGUAAAGUACUUUCAGCGGGGGGGCGUUACCCGCAGAAGAAGCACCGGCUAACUCCGUGCCAGCAGCCGCGGUAAUAC
rnacentral:rRNA from 1 species